CAACCUUUCAGCCGUGUCUGUGUUUUAUUAAACAGGUGUCGAUGGGUUAAUGAGUAUUGUAUCUUAUUGACCUGUUGGCAUGCUUUCGGAUGCCUUUAAACGGGUGUCGGGGGCGGACGGCAUCUUUACUUUGAACAAAUUUGAGUGCUCAAAGCAGGCCUAUGCGCCUGAAAAUUCUUGCAUGGAAUAAUGAAAUAGGACUUCGGUUCUAUUUUGUUGGUUUUCGGAUCCGAAGUAAUGGUUAAGAGGGACAGACGGGGGCAUUUGUAUGGCGGUGUUAGAGGUGAAAUUCUGGGAUCGCCGCCAGACAAACUACAGCGAAAGCAUUUGCCAAGAAUGUUUUCAUUGAUCAGGAGCGAAAGUCAGAGUUUCGAAGACGAUCAGAUACCGUCGUAGUUCUGACCAUAAACGAUGCCAACUGACGAUCCGCGUUGGUUCUAUAAUUGACAUCGUGGGCAGUCCCCGGGAAACCUUUAAGUCUUUGGGCUCCGGGGGGAGUAUGGUUGCAAAGCUGAAACUUAAAGGAAUUGACGGAAGGGCACCACCAGGAGUGGAGCCUGCGGUUUAAUUCGACUCAACACGGGAAAACUCACCCGGCCCGGACACUGUGAGGAUUGACAGAUUGAAAGCUCUUUCUUGAUUCGGUGGUUGGUGGUGCAUGGCCGUUCUUAGUUGGUGGAGCGAUUUGUCUGGUUAAUUCCGAUAACGAACGAGACUUUAACCUACUAAAUAGUAGACUGGUCCUCUGUGCUCGUUCAGGGCGCGGCUUCUACUGCUUCUUUAUGGAGUAGUGUGGUCGUGAUCCGACGGGUGCGGUGCCAGUUUUUACUUCUUAGAGGGACAAGCGGCACACUUAAGUCGCACGAAAUUGAGCAAUAACAGGUCUGUGAUGCCCUUAGAUGUCCGGGGCCACACGUGCGCUACAAUGACGGUGCCAGCGAGCCUGGAAACCUGGCCCGAAAGGGUUGGGCAAACUGUUUCAUCACCGUCGUGACUGGGAUCGGGGCUUGCAAUUAUUCCCCGUGAACGAGGAAUUCCUGGUAAGUGCAAGUCAUAAGCUUGCGCUGAUUACGUCCCUGCCCUUUGUACACACCGCCCGUCGCUACUACCGAUUGAAUGGUUUAGUGAGGUCGUUGGAUUGGUGUCGUUGUAGUGGCUUUAUCGC
rnacentral:rRNA from 1 species